CAACGCCGCGUGAGGGAUGACGGCCUUCGGGUUGUAAACCUCUUUCAGCUCCGACGAAGCGAGAGUGACGGUAGGAGCAGAAGAAGCACCGGCCAACUACGUGCCAGCAGCCGCGGUAAUACGUAGGGUGCAAGCGUUGUCCGGAAUUAUUGGGCGUAAAGAGCUCGUAGGCGGUCUGUCGCGUCGGCUGUGAAAACUCGGGGCUCAACCCCGAGCUUGCAGUCGAUACGGG
rnacentral:rRNA from 1 species